rnacentral:lncRNA from 1 species
AGCUGCAAAGACAAAUUAAUCCAGGUAUCGACGAAGACUUUUACACUGUUCAAUGAAACGAGCAAUGCAGUCAUGAAGGGUAGCUAUUUCUGCAGCAAGCACUCUUCGCUUCUCCUCUCUGUUGUUUGCAGGCUGUUGAGGUGCAGAUGAGAAGGCAGCAGCUUGAGGACGUUGUGUCAAAGUCCGUUGUCGACGCCUAUUGGAUUCCGUAGAUGAUUCGGGACGAGCUAAAACAUAGACAAAACCCAUUUGUUCGAGACAAACGAAAUCAUAAACAAGAUUAUCAUGUAUGUUUAUG